UACGGAGGGGGCUAGCGUUGUUCGGAAUUACUGGGCGUAAAGCGCGCGUAGGCGGACCUGCAAGUCGGGGGUGAAAGCCCGAGGCUCAACCUCGGAACUGCCUUCGAUACUGCGGGUCUCGAGUCCGGGAGAGGUGAGUGGAAUUCCUAGUGUAGAGGUGAAAUUCGUAGAUAUUAGGAAGAACACCAGUGGCGAAGGCGGCUCACUGGCCCGGGUACUGACGCUGAGGCGCGAAAGCGUGGGGAGCAAACAG
rnacentral:rRNA from 1 species